AGACAGAGGGAGGGACUGUCGAAAAAACGAGGAGGUGUUUUUCAUUGUGUCAUUUCAGCUAGUUUUUCUCACCCACACAUCUUUUUGCUCACACUCCUUAAACAACUGGACUCGAGCUAAUAAACUAUUUUACAAAAAGAGGAAGUUUUGAUGGGAAGUUUGUAAUCUGGUUGUGACUGGCACUUGUGAUAUACUUCUUUGAACUUCUGUGCUUAUAUAAACUGAAUGAAGCAGUAGCAGCUAAAAAAGGCAAGAAUCACCAGAGAUUUUUUCAGAGCAGAAACAUCCAAACUUGGUUAUUACAUAACUGGAUCACUGGCUCAUCUGAGGAAUUCCACACUGUUCUCUAAAAUCAAGUCUGGGCGAGUCUAGAUGUGUGAUCCAGCUAGUAAUAACCAACUAACACAAGUAAAGGUUAGUGAUGCUUUACUUGAAGAGCAUUCUGAUGUGGAGAAGGACCUGCACAGUGUCAUCUGCUGUAAUGGACAACAUAACAUCUGCAGAGACCCAGACCAUCGGAGAUUAGCCAUAUGCAGCAUCAUAUGUGGACUCUCAUGCAUCGGCAUUGUGUCCCUUAUCUACUCUGUCAAGUCUAGAGAGACAAGAAAAACACUUCAGACACAAGACAAUCUGAAAGUUAAAGAAUACUCAAGAAAAGCUUUAAAAUGGGGAACAGCCUCCAUUGUAGCAUGGGUGUUUUUAAUUUGUAUCUUUCCAUUUCUGCUGGGGUUACUGUCCUAUAUUAUGACCUUCAUAGACUAAGACAGCAAACCUUUGCUCCAGAUCUGCCAUGGAUUAUCACUCACACUGGACAGACUGGAAUAAGUCCACAAACCUUUUACACUGAUCAUUCAAAUUCAAUGUGUGUGCAAUUAUUUACUGCUGGUUAUACGAUUAUUGCAAAAUAUUCAAAAACCUAGACUCCGUUUAAUAGCUCUGACU